rnacentral:rRNA from 1 species
CCUACGGGUGGCAGCAGUGAGGAAUAUUGGUCAAUGGGCGCGAGCCUGAACCAGCCAAGUAGCGUGAAGGAUGACUGCCCUACGGGUUGUAAACUUCUUUUAUAAAGGAAUAAAGUGAGGCACGUGUGCCUUUUUGUAUGUACUUUAUGAAUAAGGAUCGGCUAACUCCGUGCCAGCAGCCGCGGUAAUACGGAGGAUCCGAGCGUUAUCCGGAUUUAUUGGGUUUAAAGGGAGCGUAGAUGGUUUGUUAAGUCAGUGGUGAAAGUUUGCGGCUCAACCGUGAAAUUGCAAUUGAUACUGGCAGGCGUGAGUGUAGUUGAGGUAGGCGGAAUGCGUGGUGUAGCGGUGAAAUGCUUAGAGAUCACGAAGAACUCCGAUUGCGAAGGCAGCUUACUAAGCUGCCACUGACAUUGAGGCACGAAAGUGUGGGUAGCAAACAGGAUUAGAUACCCUGGUAGUC